rnacentral:rRNA from 1 species
CUUGGGUAGGGGAGCGUUGAAUACGGGUUGAAGUUGGACCGUGAGGACUGGUGGACUGUAUUCAAGUGAGAAUGCCGGUAUGAGUAACGAAAAGACAAGUGAGAAUCUUGUCCGCCGAAAGCCUAAGGGUUCCUGAGGAAGGCUCGUCCUCUCAGGGUAAGUCGGGACCUAACGCGAGGCCGAAAGGCGUAGUGGAUGGACAACAGGUUGAAAUUCCUGUACCACCGUAAACCGUUAUGAGCAAUGGGGUGACACAGAAGGGCAGUGACGCGGGCUGAUGGAAUAGCCCGUCCAAGCAGUGAGGCUAGUGUGUAGGCAAAUCCGCACACUGUUAGGCUGGGCUGUGAUGGGGAGCGAAAAUUACAGUAGCGAAGGUCAUGUACUCCGGCUGUCAAGAAAAGCCUCUAGCCAGGUGAAGGUGCCCGUACCGCAAACCGACACAGGUAGGCGAGCAGAGCAUGCUAAGGCGCGCGGAAGAACUCUCGUUAAGGAACUCGGCAAAAUGACCCCGUAACUUCGGGAGAAGGGGUGCCUCGGUAGGGUGAAUAGCCCGAGGGGGCCGCAGUGAAAAGGCCCAAGCGACUGUUUAGCAAAAACACAGGUCUGUGCGAAGCCGUAAGGCGAAGUAUACGGGCUGACGCCUGCCCGGUGCUGGAAGGUUAAGGGGAGCGGUUAGGGGCAACCCGAAGCUGUGAACCGAAGCCCCAGUAAACGGCGGCCGUAACUAUAACGGUCCUAAGGUAGCGAAAUUCCUUGUCAGGUAAAUUCUGACCCGCACGAAUGGCGUAACGACUUGGGCGCUGUCUCAACGAGAGAUCCGGUGAAAUUUUAAUACCUGUGAAGAUGCAGGUUACCCGCGACAAGACGGAAAGACCCCAUGGAGCUUUACUGUAACUUGAUAUUGGACUUUGGUACGAUCUGUACAGGAUAGGUGGGAGCCAUUGAAGCAUGAGCGCCAGCUUGUGUGGAGGCGACGUUGGGAUACCACCCUGAUCGUAUCGGAGUUCUAACCUGCUGCCGUGAAACCGGCAGAGGGACCGUGUCAGGUGGACAGUUUGACUGGGGCGGUCGCCUCCUAAAAUGUAACGGAGGCGCCCAAAGGUUCCCUCAGAAUGGUUGGAAAUCAUUCGAAGAGUGCAAAGGCAUAAGGGAGCUUGACUGCGAGACCUACAAGUCGAGCAGGGACGAAAGUCGGGCUUAGUGAUCCGGUGGUACCGAAUGGAAGGGCCAUCGCUCAACGGAUAAAAGCUACCCUGGGGAUAACAGGCUUAUCUCCCCCAAGAGUCCACAUCGACGGGGAGGUUUGGCACCUCGAUGUCGGCUCAUCGCAUCCUGGGGCUGAAGUAGGUCCCAAGGGUUGGGCUGUUCGCCCAUUAAAGCGGUACGCGAGCUGGGUUCAGAACGUCGUGAGACAGUUCGGUCCCUAUCUGUCGCGGGCGCAGGAAAUUUGAGAGGAGCUGUCCUUAGUACGAGAGGACCGGGAUGGACGUACCGCUGGUGUACCAGUUGUUCCGCCAGGAGCACCGCUGGGUAGCCAAGUACGGACGGGAUAAGCGCUGAAAGCAUCUAAGCGUGAAGCCCCCCUCAAGAUGAGAUUUCCCAGUAUGUAAGACCCCUUGAAGACGACGAGGUUGAUAGGUUCGGGGUGGAAGCACAGCAAUGUGUGGAGCUGACGAAUACUAAUCGGUCGAGGGCUUAUCCUAAA